rnacentral:tRNA from 1 species
GGUCCCAUAGCUCAGUUGGUUAGAGCACCUGACUCAUAAUCAGGGAGUCCAAGGUUCAAGCCCUUGUGGGACCACCA